rnacentral:misc_RNA from 1 species
GGUAACUCUUCCAUCAACUUCAACUUGUUACAAAGUCUUGCACAAAAUGAUAAUUUAAUUUGCAUGGCCAAUUCAUAGAUUAUGAACCAACCUUAUUCUUAAGGCAAUGAACCAAUCUUGAUGGAUUUAUCAUACUAUAUUAAAAUAUAAGUAAAUAUAAGUCCUUUGGCAGUGUUCAAGAGAAGGACAAGCAGAAGAAAAGGUGCAUAGAAUUCUGCUGGCAGUUAGUGAGAAGAGAAAGAUCAAGGGAG